rnacentral:SRP_RNA from 1 species
GCCAGGCGUGGUGGUGCAUGCCUGUAAUCCUAGCUACUCAGGAGGCUGAGGCAGGAGAAUCGCUUGAACCUGGGAGGUGGGGGUUACAGUGAGCCAAGAUUGUGCCACUGCUCUCCAGCCCGGGCGACAGAGCGAGACUCUGUCUCAA